UACGUAGGGUGCGAGCGUUGUCCGGAAUUACUGGGCGUAAAGAGCUCGUAGGUGGUUUGUCGCGUUGUUCGUGAAAACCGGGGGCUUAACCCUCGGCGUGCGGGCGAUACGGGCAGACUGGAGUACUGCAGGGGAGACUGGAAUUCCUGGUGUAGCGGUGAAAUGCGCAGAUAUCAGGAGGAACACCGGUGGCGAAGGCGGGUCUCUGGGCCGAUACUGACACUGAGGAGCGAAAGCGUGGGGAGCGAACAGG
rnacentral:rRNA from 1 species